UAACGUUUCCAUAGAAUACAUAUUACUGCAUAAAUACAAACCUCUUAAUAUAUUUUUACUCUUAUUUACAGAAAAAACUCAAAAUGAAAUCAUUCGGAUCCUCAAAAAAUAAUGGAGGCUCCUUAAAAUAAUAGUUUUAUAUUAUUAUGAUACGUAUUUUAAGAUUAUUAUUACACUGUAUACCUAUUAUAUCCGUAUCAUAGAUAAUUUAUUUAAAGUUUAAAUUUUUAAAUUUGUAUUGGAAUACAUUGUGAUAACGUUUGUUGAAAACACUCAAUAUCUUUGUACCCAGUUAUGCGACUUGAAUUUUUCUUUAUUCAGUUGUUAUAUUUAUUAUUUCUCCUGUUCACGCACUAAAUACAUGUUGCAGUUGAUUAUACAUAUAUAUAUAUAUAUAAGCGUGCAUGUUACAACUUUAUUUUAUUAAACGGCUACUUUCCUCUUUAAC